CCAAACUUCAGAUUCUAACUGAAGAAAAUUACCGGUUGGUAACCAAACACCUUAAUGACGAUAAGAAAAACUUCUAUAAGUACCAGCUCCAAAGCAGCAAAGGACUGCAAGUAGUAUAAAAAGGUAUAGAAUCAAGUGUACCCACAUGUGAUAUUGCUCAUGCUCUAGAGAAGGCAGGAUUUGCUGUUAAAAAUAUUGUCAAUAUUAUCAACAUAGGAAAAAUCGCUCAGCCUAUGUUUAAGGUUGAACUUUAGCCACCCAAUCUACAACUUACGAUACCUUCUACACCGAAGAAUAACAGUGGAGGAGCCCAACAAGCGAAACGGUCCCGUACAGUGCACAAAUUGUCAAGAAUUUGGGCAUACCAGAACAUACUGCACCUUGGGUCCAGUCUGUGUUACCUGUGGCGACAUUCACGUUUCCGCUUCCUGCAAGGCUUUCAAAGCUGAUGUGGCUGUAAAGAAAUGCAGUAAUAUCGGAGGUAACCGCACCGCCAAUUACAGGGGAUGGCCUGUAUACAAAGACUUAAACCCCCCCUAUUAUGAAUUCAUAAGAUGCAUGAUAAACGCUUGCAUUCUGUUAUUCUCUGUUACGAAUCGAUGUUGUCGUAUGAAAUCCGAUAGUAAGCGUAGAUGAUUUGUGUUAGUUCACAAUGAAAAGUGAACAAAAACCCCAGCCAUUCACAACAAUACAUCUGUCGGGGCCUAUGAAAACGAUAAUACGAUAACUGAUUUCAUACGAUACGCUUGCAAGCGUUUAUCGUCUAUCGUAUGAAAAUUCAUAAUAGGGGGGAGAGUUGAAUUUCACUUG